GAUGAACGCUGGCGGCGUGCCUAAUACAUGCAAGUCGAGCGAACGGACGAGAAGCUUGCUUCUCUGAUGUUAGCGGCGGACGGGUGAGUAACACGUGGAUAACCUACCUAUAAGACUGGGAUAACUUCGGGAAACCGUAGCUAAUACCGGAUAAUAUUUUGAACCGCAUGGUUCAACAGUGAAAGCCGGUCUUGAUGUCACUUAUAGAUGGAUCCGCGCUGCAUUAGCUAGUUGGUAAGGUAACGGCUUACCAAGGCAACGAUGCAUAGCCGACCUGAGAGGGUGAUCGGCCACACUGGAACUGAGACACGGUCCAGACUCCUACGGGAGGCAGCAGUAGGGAAUCUUCCGCAAUGGGCGAAAGCCUGACGGAGCAACGCCGCGUGAGUGAUGAAGGUCUUCGGAUCGUAAAACUCUGUUAUUAGGGAAGGACAUAUGUGUAAGUAACUGUGCACAUCUUGACGUUACCUAAUCAGAAAGCCACGGCUAACUACGUG
rnacentral:rRNA from 1 species